GGGCGGCAUCCCGUGUACCAAACAGGGUUAAAAACCUCAAGUCUCGUGGUUAGAAACCUCCCAGAAACACACGCUGAAGGGCGGAGCCAACCAGUCCGCGAGACGCUACACACACACUGCUCACUGCAGCUCCAGCGACUGUCACGGUACUUAGCACUGUGUGCUGCAUGUUCUUCAUAAUUGCUUACUUCACUCUUCACUUCAUCCUGAGAGAGGGUGAGAUCACAAGUAGGCAGAGAGGCAGGCAGAGAGAGAGAGAGGAGGAAGUAGGAUCUCUGCUGAGCAGAGAGCCUGAUGUGGGGCUCGAUCCCAAGACCCCGGGAUCAUGACCUGAGCCGAAGAUAGAGGCUUUAACCCACUGAGCCACCCAGGAACCCCAAAGGGACUCUAUCUUAAUAUGAGGAAACUGAGGCUCAGAGGACUAUAACUGAUGAGGGUCACACAGCUCGAAGGUAGCAGAGCUGUUUUUAACUUCUAUAUGAUUUUUGCCAUUUGGAUGCCAGCUUUGGUGAGUUGAUUAUUCAUCUGUAUAAUUGUUUCACUGAUAGAAUUAAAAUCAUGAUGUUAAAUGACAUCAAAUCAUUUUCUUAACAUUGGAAUAAUUCUUCAUUCUGUUUUUGGUAGGAAGCACAUUUUCUAAAACGGUUUUCAAGUAUUUGAUUGGCUUGUGCUGUUGCAAAAGUGCUGGAUGCCUACCAGAACGCUUUUUCCUUCUCCUCUACAGAUGGAGCUGAGAAGGUGACCACUAGCUACAUUCUUGCAAACAGAAUGAACUUAAGUAAUGUGUGCACUUCCAGACCUAGGCUUUCAAUCUGUACAUGGUGGCACCUAUAUCCUCUCUCCCCUUCCCACAAGCUGCAACGUGGGGCCUGGCGAUGACCAUGCUAAGAGGACGGUGCCCUAAGACCAUGGUCUUCCCGGUGCAGUUCCCUGACCAGCAGCAUCAAGUCACCUGGAAAUUUGUUAAAAAUGCAAAUCUUUACAGGUGGGCAAUCUGUUUUGAUAAGCCUCCAGGCAAUUUUGAUGCAGGCCAAAGUGGGAGAAUCCCCUCCACCAGGAGAGGCAGAGACAGAAGGAACUCCCAGGAGCAGGGCAGAGCAGCUCACCUGUCCAUCCUGACUUGUAGUGAGGAGAAUUUAAACUUGUUACUCUUGAAGCCACACCUCUUUCUUACAACCCUUAAUCUUUUAUCCUCACUAAUACAAGUGUCUUUAGAAUCUAUGUUGGGUUACAGAAUGAAGGAAGGGUUACCGAAUGGUGAUGAUUUCUCCCUCCACAAAGAAGUCACAUAUGAGUUUAUCCUGGUGGAACUCCAAAGGACUGUUGACUGCGUAACAUUACCUUGCUGAGCUUUGGGAUCCUAACGUGGACACCAGCCCGUAAUCCUGUGCCAAGGUUCGAAGGGCAGGUCAGAAUAUAUCCUAGUCGCUCAUUCCACAUGAACUCCCAGCCUCGCGCUUGGAUUAAGCGUUCCACCUACAGCAGUGAACAAACGGAGUUCUUAAGUAUCCAUUUACUUGGUACAUCCGCAACACCAGGGAGAGACAUGUGUACUGUAUGUUUGCCAUGAGUGAAAUUCAGGCAAAUUUAUAUUACUUCCUUAAUGGAAAAGGAUACUUCUAUCCAAAUAUUAAAAUGAGUCAAUUAAAUUAGAUGAAGCAGGUACAGCACUGAAUGCAGUACUAGCACAUCCUAAAUAUUCAAUGAAUGUCCGUUGCUGUUACUUUUCAUACGAGAAUAAUAGGAGAAUGUAGGAAUUCUCAGCAGGUAAGGCUGUGGUCAGGUUACUUAGGAACAUAGUUACAUCCUGUACUGUCUAUAUGCUUAGAAUCACCAAGAGCACUGUUAAGGAAACUGGAUCAUAAGUAAUGAUCCACAGACUUCCCUGAACCAUUCUGGACUUGGGAGAAGGGCAGAGGAGACUUUUUUUUUUUUAACUAGUAAAUUCCUAUUUUUGAAGCCCUGGCCUGGUAGUCCCGCCCUUAGAGAGUGCCAUGAUCCUAAAGAAAAUUAGCCUCAUCCUGGUAAUCACCAUAGUGUCUUCUGUUAAAAAUGAAGAAGUGGUUUCAUUUUAAUGAAAAUUCAGAAAUCUCUGGUAACAUCUUACCUCUUUCAGUCCACGACAGAAUCGCUCAAAUACUCUUUUCAUAUUGCCUCCUUUUUCCAUAGAGAUUACCCUGGUGUGGUCUUCCUCAUUAAUCCAGAUGAGAAAGGUCUUGUCAUAAUUAUGCCUAAUGAAAGGAGAAAUACGGCGUUGCGUGUCAAAUCCAUUUGUUUCAACACAUGAAGAUUCCCUUUACUCCUGUGGCUUCAUUGCUUCAUUUCACCUUCCUCAUUCCUACAAAGCCCUAAGCUUUUUACUGUGCCUGAACAAGUGCUACAAAAUAAUGUUACCGUGACAGAACAAACAACAAGACCAACUCCAACCCUUAAAGAUGUACUGUUUUUUUCCCAACAAGAAUAUCAUCUUCCCCAGUCCUUGGACAAGGAGGACAAUAAUUCAGCUAUGGAUAACAUUUGGCUUUGACACUAACAAGAGUAUUCUAAGAGGCUCAACCAAAAUCUUGUGGCGCUUCAAGAAAGUUUUUUACCUGCAGCCCAGGAGGUUUGGGAUGCAGAAGAUCUCACAUAUGUUUACUGCCUAGAUCCUGCCUAUCCACACACACGGAGCAUCUGCUCACGAACACACUUAUCGCAGCUCCUUCGGAGAGUGUCAGAAUAACCUACCAAAGUACACGGGAAUCAAAGUGGACUGAGGACUUUGGCCAAGAUAAAAUACGUGUAUACUCGAUAUCCAUUCUUCCUUGUAGGGUUUUGCUUAAGUCCUCGAAACUUUUCAUUUUCUGCUCUUUUGUUUUAAAGUCAUGAAACAGAUUCUCUGUGAGGUCAAAUAAUAUGAAGCUAAUUUUUCUUAAAAUAGUCUUUCUCAUGCAUAAUUCAUGCAAACCAGCGAACAUUCUUACACAUCUUAGAUACAUCACCAUACUGUGGAAUGACACACACACACACACAAUUUCUACAGUCUCUCUCCCCCCCAUUUAACUCAAGCCGGGCAUGCUGUCAGCUGCGGCUCACAGCAACUGCAGGUUAGGAGAAGCAGGUGAUCUGAAGGAGAUCGUCUGUACACACUGCAAAUGUGAAAAUGCUGUGUCCAUACCAGAUUCCCCUGGCAUCUGGCCAGUCACGGGCCAUCCCAGCACAUGUUAGUAAGGGGGAUACUGGCUUAUCAAAUAGAAAGUGGUCCUGCAGGCCAGAACGGACAAAGCAGAAAGGAAAAAAUGAUGAGAUCAGACACAACUACAUGUGCCAGGUCUGUCAGACAGUGGUUCUCAGCCUUGGCUGGCUGCCCACUGGAACAACCUGGGUUUUUUUUUUUUAAAUAUGAAUGCCCAGUUCCUGCCCCCCAGAUAUUCUGUCCUAAUUGUUAUGGGGUGUGGCCUGGACAGUGGGAUUUUUUAAAAGCUCUUCAGAUGAUUCUAGCUUACAGCUAAGGUUGAAAUCCACUGGCUUAGCCCAGAUGGAAACAAUCACUAUGAAUUAUAUUUAUCCACCAGCACCAAUGCUAUGCAGUGUUGGAGCAGGCAGUGAGUGAGGGACACGCUCCUGGAAAGGCUGGUAUACACAGCCACCAUUCUCUACAUGUCCGGCAUUAGUGGAUCUAGUGGAUCUCUUAUUACUAUCCUUCCUUUCACUAACAAGUAUUGGAGAUGUAAAACAAUGGAUUAUAAAUAAAAAUAUCUACCAUUAAUUCAA